AGAGUUUGAUCCUGGCUCAGGAUGAACGCUGGCGGCGUGCUUAACACAUGCAAGUCGAACGGGAAACCUUUAAUUGAAGCUUCGGCAGAUCUAGCUGGUUUCUACUGGCGGACGGGUGAGUAACGCGUGGGUAACCUGCCUUAUACAUGGGGAUAACAACCAGAAAUGGUUGCUAAUACCGCAUAAGCGCACAGGACCGCAUGGUCCGGUGUGAAAAACUCUGGUGGUAUAAAAUGGACCCGCGUUGGAUUAGCUAGUUGGCAGGGUAACGGCCUACCAAAGCGACGAUCCAUAUCCGGCCUGAGAGGGUGAACGGGCACAUUGGGACUGAGACACGGUCCAAACUCCUACGGGAGGCAGCAAUGGGGAAUAUUGCACAAUGGGGGAAACCCUGAUGCAUCGACGCCGCGAUGAAGGAACAAGUAUCUCGGUAUGUAAACUUCUAUCAGCAUGGAAGAUAUUGACGGUACCUGACUAAGAAUCCCCGGCUAACUACGUGCCAGCAGCCGCGGUAAUACGUACGGGGCAAUCGUUAUCCGGAUUUACUGGGUGUAAAGGGAGCGUAUACGGACUGGCAAGUCUGAUGUGAAAGGCGGGGGCUCAACCCCUGAACUGCAUUGGAAACUGUGAGUCUUGAGUGGCGGACAGGUACUCGGAACUCCUAGUGUAGCGGUGAAAUGCGUACAUGUUAGGAGGAACAUUAUUGGCGAAGGCGGUUACUGGACGGUAACUGACGUGAGGCUCGAAAGCGUGGGAGCAUACAGGAUUAGAUACCUUGGUAGUCCACGCCGUAAACGAUGAAUAGUAGGUGUUGGGGAGCAAAGCUCUUCGGUGCCGCCGCAAACGCAUUAAGUAUUCCACCUGGGGAGUACGUUCGCAAGAAUGGACAUCAAAGGAAUUGACGGGGACCCGCACAAGCGGUGGAGCAUGUGGUUUAAUUCGAAGCGACGCGAAGAACCUUACCAAGUCUUGACAUCCCUGUGACCGUUCCUUAACCGGAACUUUCCUUCGGGACAGGGGAGACAGGUGGUGCAUGGUUGUCGUCAGCUCGUGUCGUGAGAUGUUGGGUUAAGUCCCGCAACGAGCGCAACCCCUAUCCCCAGUAGCCAGCAGUCCGGCUGGGCACUUUGAGGAGACUGCCAGGGAUAACCUGGAGGAAGGCGGGGAUGACGUCAAAUCAUCAUGCCCCUUAUGAUUUGGGCUACACACGUGCUACAAUGGCGUAAACAAAGGGAAGCAAACCUGCGAAGGUAAGCAAAUCCCAAAAAUAACGUCCCAGUUCGGACUGCAGUCUGCAACUGGACUGCAGGAAGCUGGAAUCGUUAGUAAUCGCGGAUCAGAAUGCCGCGGUGAAUACGUUCCCNGGGUAUUGUACACAGCGCCCGUC
rnacentral:rRNA from 1 species